GCCAGAGGGGAACCCCACACCAGGCUGCAGAAAGCCCCUUGAUCUACCCCAUCCCCCCCCAGACCUCUCCUGUUUCAGGAGCUCCAAGACGAGGGCCACGUCUCUCCGAAGCCCCUCCCCACGGCCUCUCCCGGGACCACGAGACCACGCGACCACGUGACCACACCGCAGUGCCGCGCUCCGUGUAUUUGACAAGCUGAGUUGGACACUCCGUGUGGUUGAGUGUCAGUUUGUCAAAUACCCUAAGUGAGGCAUUGCUCAGCCACGUUGCUCAUGGCGGACCACCUCUCUACUUCCUGUGCUAGUCCUCACCGCUCCUGUUCCCUUUUCCCCAAGGCCCUGCAGUGGGGUGGGGACAGAGCAGGGGUUGGUGUGGUGGGGGUGAGGUGGCGGACCGGUUGGGGCUGGGGGCUGAAUAAAUAGGGCUGUGCUACGAUGGGGGUGGGUUCACUGGCUCUAACCUGCCCCAGGCUGACUGCCCCAACCGAAGUGAGAGGCAGAAAUGCCCCCUCUCCUCUCACCCCUGGAGCGGCUGGGCUUCCCUAAGCCCCCUAGGAUCUUCCCUCAUUGAACAGUAAUGGGUAUUGAGUGAUUCCUGUGUACAGAGCUUGGGAGACACAGGCAACUCACAGUCUGGGCCGGGGGGCAGACAUCAAAAUACAAUACAGACAGGGAAAGCAGCGGAAUAAGGAUAUGGACGUAAAUUUGUCGUCAAAGUGCUUAAAGGGAACAUACCCAAGUAUACAGACAAGGCAGAAGGGAAGGCUUAGGGAAAUGAAAAGUCGAUCAGGGUGGGCAUUUUGGAGGGGAUGUUUAGAAGGUUUUUGAAGGUGGAGAGAGCGGAGGUCUGUUGGAUGGGAAUUGUAAUAAAUUACUCAUGUAUUCAUAUUAA